rnacentral:rRNA from 1 species
UACGAAGGGGGCUAGCGUUGUUCGGAAUUACUGGGCGUAAAGCGCGCGCAGGCGGUCUUCCAAGUCAGUGGUGAAAGCCCGGAGCUCAACUCCGGAACUGCCAUUGAAACUGUUGGACUUGAGUACGAGAGAGGUGAGUGGAAUUCCCAGUGUAGAGGUGAAAUUCGUAGAUAUUGGGAAGAACACCGGUGGCGAAGGCGGCUCACUGGCUCGGUAACUGACGCUCAGGCGCGACAGCGUGGGGAUCGAAACAGG